rnacentral:rRNA from 1 species
GAUGAACGCUGUCUACAGGCUUAACACAUGCAAGUCGAGGGGAAACGACGGGGAAGCUUGCUUCCCCGGGCGUCGACCGGCGCACGGGUGAGUAACGCGUAUCCAACCUGCCUCUGACUGAGGGAUAACCCGUCGAAAGUCGGCCUAAUACCUCAUGGCAUCGUCUGCGGGCAUCCAACGACGAUUAAAGAUUUCAUCGGUCAGGGAUGGGGAUGCGUCUGAUUAGCUUGUUGGCGGGGUAACGGCCCACCAAGGCUACGAUCAGUAGGGGUUCUGAGAGGAAGGUCCCCCACAUUGGAACUGAGACACGGUCCAAACUCCUACGGGAGGCAGCAGUGAGGAAUAUUGGUCAAUGGGCGGGAGCCUGAACCAGCCAAGUAGCGUGCAGGAUGACGGCCCUAUGGGUUGUAAACUGCUUUUAUGCGGGGAUAAAGUGAGGGACGUGUCCUUCAUUGCAGGUACCGAAUGAAUAAGGACCGGCUAAUUCCGUG